rnacentral:rRNA from 1 species
UACGAAGGGGGCGAGCGUUGUUCGGAAUUACUGGGCGUAAAGGGCGCGUAGGCGGCCUUGUCAGUCAGAAGUGAAAGCCCCGGGCUCAACCUGGGAAUGGCUUUUGAUACUGCAGGGCUUGAGUUCCGGAGAGUGUGGUGGAAUUCCCAGUGUAGAGGUGAAAUUCGUAGAUAUUCGGUGGAACACCAGUGGCGAAGGCGACUCGCUGGACUGAUACUGACGCUGAGGCACGAAAGCGUGGGGAGCAAACAGG